AAACUUUGCACAUAAAAAAAUGUCCACAAAAGAGCAAAAAGGGUUUUUGGAAUGGAGAAGAUAACAAAGUAUAAACUGACGAAAACACAGAGUUUCCCCAGAGUCUUUGAAAGGACAUGUUUUGAGAUCUCUUUUAGCCCCACUUUGACCGUUCUUUUUUUUUCUUUUUCUCUCUCUCUCGUUCUCAUUUUCCCGAGAAAAUAAAAAAAUAGAAAAACCAUAUCUUUCUUUGCUUGUAACCGUAAAGUUCAUUGCUUUUGUUCCUUUUUAAGUUCAAUAUCACACGGGUACAUAAAUUUCGUUGAGAACUCCAAUAAUAUUUUCUUCCUCGUUCUCAUUCUCUUGGAACAAGCAAAAGUUUUCAUGCCGUCUCACAAUAUUUGGACUAUCAGACAGAAAGAGUUUUCUUUUAGUUCUAGGACGUCCAAUAUUCAGGUUUAUGAUUUUCGGUCAUACACAUUCAUGAUAGAACUGGUGUUCCAAAUAUGAGUCUUGGGAAUCUGGACAGGAAAAAGAAGUCUUUCAUUCAAAGAAUUUUCACCGCCAGGGAGAGACACGGAAGGAAAAUGAUAAAGAAUUCGUUUGAUUCUUCUGUUGCACAGUCUAAAGCAGCCCUUGAGAGUUCAUCUUCGAGAAGCUUAGGACCAUCUAUGUCUUCUGACCAUCAUGUUCAGUCUUUCCGAGUGUUUGUAGCUACAUGGAAUGUAGGAGGAACGUCUCCUCACACCAGCCUUAAUUUGGAUGAUUUCCUUCAAGUUGAUAAUCAAUCAGACAUAUAUGUCUUGGGUUUCCAGGAGAUUGUUCCUUUAAACGCUGGAAAUGUGCUAGUUAUAGAAGACAAUGAACCUGCUGCAAAAUGGCUAGCUCUAAUCAAUCAGUCACUGAAUAAACCACCCAAUGGUGUUUCAAGACGAAUGGCAGGCCUUGGAGGAUCACUAUUCUUCGCGAAGCCUUCCCUCAAAAAAAUCAGUAAAACUUUUAGGACAGAUGGUGGAAGGAAGCUGAAGACUUGUAACUGCAGUACAGAACUGGAAAGGAAGCAUAGUAAGGAUUUCUGUUUCCGAUGCCAGCAAUCCUAUAUAAGCGAAGGUGACCUAUCUUCGGAUGAGGAAGAAGAUGGUGCUAAUGGAUAUGAUAUUUUGGAGAAUUCCGUUCCCCAUAAUAACCAGAUGAAGUACAGCCUUAUAGCGAGUAAGCAGAUGGUGGGAAUUUUCGUUACUAUUUGGGUGAGAAAGGAACUUGUUCAACAUAUAGGUCACUUGAGGAUCUGCUGCAUUAGUCGUGGGAUCAUGGGCUGUCUUGGAAAUAAGGGGUGUAUAUCUGUCAGAUUUUCGUUGCACCAGACGACGUUUUGUUUUAUCUGCAGUCACUUGGCAUCUGGAGAGAAAGAGGGGGAUGAACUUAGGAGAAAUCUUGAUGUCAUAGAGAUACUUAAAAGCACUCAGUUUCCCAGGAUUUGCAGAACUUCUUACAGUAGGGUGCCAGAAAAGAUUCUAGAACAUGAUCGGAUCAUAUGGCUAGGGGAUUUGAAUUACCGGAUUGCCUUGAGUUACUCUGAUACCAGGAAGCUUCUUGAGGCUCAAAACUGGGAUGCACUUCUUAACAAAGAUCAGCUCAAGAUUGAAAGGGAAGCAGGGCGUGUGUUUAAGGGAUGGAGAGAGGGAAAAAUCUACUUUGCACCUACAUACAAGUACUCCUAUAACUCGGACUAUUACACUGGAGAAACUAAAACAUCGAAAAAGAAAAGGAGAACCCCAGCUUGGUGUGACAGAAUAUUAUGGCAUGGAAAUGGGAUCCGACAACUUUCUUACAUACGCGGUGAAUUCCGUUUUUCUGAUCACCGGCCAGUUUGUGCAACAUUUAUGGUGGAUGUGGUGGUUAAUAGUAAUGGAUUUAAGAAGGGAUCAUCUAACUAUAAUAUGAAGAUUGAAAUUGAGGAGCUUUUGCCCACCAACUAAUACUUACCUCAAAUUUUCUUUUAAUAACAUGUACUAACUCGCUAACCGGGCAUUGCAAGGUUAAAGAAUACCGAGUUUUUGCUUAUCUCCCAAGACAAAUUUGGUGUAGUGUUUCCCAAGCCAGGCUUCAUCCACAAUCAUCAUCAUCAUCAUCAUCAACUUCUUCUUCUUCGUUGUCUUCUCAAACUCUAUUCCCUUCUCAGCACUUGGAGAGGCAAAAUGGAGGCUCAAAAGUAGUGCCGCCGGCAACUACUAGCCUUCGAAGAAUACCUCCUAGCAUUCCAAACCCUACACAAAACAAGUCAAAGCCUCAGAUAAAGUGUUGAAGAAGGUAUUGGCUUCGCAUGAACUUCUGAACGUUCACAACUUGGUCUUUUUGCUUGAAGCCAUUGAAGGAUCAUAUUGUGUAACUCUCUUUUGUUUAAAGAGUAUUUAAAAAUAGUUAGAUUAUUGUAACUCUGUUAGAAGGAGCUUAAUUAGGUGAUAGAAAUGGUCUGAGGCAAAAGAAUAUAAGAGAGUUUAUAUGGUUAUAAGAGAGCUCAUCCUUUUUUUUUUUUUUU